AUGGCGAGGAUGAAGCCACAACAGGAGAGAGAGAUGGUGAAGAAGGACAAAAAUAAGUUGGAGUACAUGAUUGCAUAUUUGUUGAGAGAAAAAGAAGUUGCAAAGGAGAAGGAGGAGAGAGUAUUCCCGGGGCUGGCGGAGCUGCUGCCCAAGGUGGCCACGGACGACCGCACGGUGAUCAUCACGUCGGUGAACGAGGCGUGGGCGGCGCCGGGGUCGCUGCUGGACCUCUUCCGCGGAAGCUUCCGCGACGGCGAGGGGAUCGCGCACCUCCUAAACCACACGCUCAUCGUCGCCGUCGACGCCGCGGCGUACCACCACUGCCGGCGCGUGCACCCGCACUGCUACCUCCUCGAGGUCGAGGCGACGGCCAUGAACCUCAGCUCCGCCAGCGACUUCAUGAGCGGCGCCUACCUGGAGCUCGUCUGGGCCAAGCUGGAGCUGCAGCAGCGCGUCCUCCAGCUCGGCCACAGCUUCCUCUUCACGGACGUGGACGUGGUGUGGCUCCGGGACCCGUUCCGGCACAUCGGCGUGCACGCGGACAUGGCCGUGUCCUGCGACAUCUACUCCGGCGACGCCGACGCGCUCGACGGCAACUGGCCCAACACGGGCUUCUACUACGUGAAGGCGACGGCGCGGACGGUGGAGAUGAUGUGGCGGUGGCGGGCGGCGCGGUGGCGGUUCCCGAGGGCUCACGAGCAGACCAUCUUCAACCAGAUCAAGCACGAGCUGGCCUCCGCGGACGGCGGCCUGCGGCUGCGGUUCCAGUUCCUCGACACGGCUCGCUUCGGCGGAUUCUGCCGGCUGUUCCACAACGACAUGGCCAGGGCGUGCACCAUGCACGCCAACUGCUGCUUCGGCCUGGAGAAAAAGUUGAGCGAUCUCCGAGACGUGCUCGGGCAGUGGAAGAACUACACGGCCAUGACGCCACCGGAGAGGAGGAAUGUCGGGUGGCGCGUCCCGGCCAAGUGCGGGACGCCUGACAAGAGGGCGCGGACGGGGCCGGGCUCCUGA
rnacentral:rRNA from 1 species